ACUAACAGAAUUUAUUUAGAAAAACAACUUAUGACAAAAAUCAAAUCUGACAACAAAUUCCACCACCGUAGACAGCACUAACAACGCUAAAAAAAUACCACAAGUUCCACCGCGAACCGUACGAACCGCAACGAGAAAAGAAAAGAAAAAACCGAACCUGGUGCACUGAACACAAUGCCACCAUCAGCCGCCGCCACCGGCGACGACGACGAAGACCACGCCCUUCCCUCUUCCAAUCCAUCGUUCGCUCAAAUCUCGGGUUCCGACAUGGAUAUCGAUAACGGUGAUGACGAAGAAGAGGAGGAUCCGGAAGAAGAAGUAGGCGGCGGAGACGACGACGACGACGAGGAGAUAGAAGAAAAAGAAGAAGUUGAAGUUGAAGUUGAAGAGGAGGAAGUUGAUCAGAGACGUAACGAUAAUAGACAGCAUCUGGAGUCUGACAGGCAAAUGGGAUCACAUUCUACACAUGAGAUGUCUGAACUGAGGGAAGAUAGUGUCAGUAAUUUCAAAUGUUCUGGCCCUUUGGAUGGACCAUUGACAUUGCAGAAGGAGAAGUGUGUGAAUUAUUUAGAUUCAUGGUCCCCCAAAUUGAGUAAACAUUUGGUUAUUGCUCAAAAAAAUGGAAUUUUGGAACAUGCAAUUAAUAAAACAGAUGCCUUCGGCAAUAGCAAGACUCAUUUAAGUAAUAGUAGCGAAGCUAUAGCUGUUGAGACCACUGAGCCAUUUGUUAUCACAGGCAUAGAGGUGGAUGUUGUCUUAUCUAAGAGAAACUGCUUGGGUCAGGAGGCUAAUGUCGUUCUGGAUUCUAAGGAAGAACUUAAACCAGUGGACGUGAAGUCAGAGGAUAGCAAAGAGCAAACAGAAUCGAGGUUUUCCAGAUUAGUGGCUUCUGGGACAAGGGCAAGAAGUUUAUCCCCUUCUACUGAGCUUAGGGAUGGAAACAAACGCGCAGCAGUAAUUUGUGACUUUUUUGCCAAAGGGUGGUGCAUUAGAGGGAGUUCAUGUAGGUUCCUUCAUACAACCAACAAAGCAGAUAACACAGGCCAACAGUUAGGGGUAGAUGAGGUUGCAACCCGAGAAGACCAGUUUGAUGAAGGUGUGAGAAACAUUUUGGAGACACCAAAGUUUCCUCAUUUUCCUGACCCAGUUGCUGCUUCAACAGGAAAAGAAGCUACAUUUUCUUCUCAUUUCUCUUCAGAAAGACUCCCACCACUAGAACACAAAGAAAACGAUUGGUUGCAUCAGUUGGAUGAUAAGCACAAGUUGUCACUUAGACAAAGAGUGGGCAUUCCUCUCAAUGCCAAGCAAUUUUCUUCCUCCAAAGACGAUCCUGGCUUUUCUUCCUCAUUUAAGGAUGUAGGAAUAGAGAAUUUUAGACAACAUUGGCCUGCGACUGAUUAUGGUAGUUACACUUCUCUAAUUAACAGAGGAUCAUCAUUUUCUUUUAGUUCCUCUUUUGAUACAAGCCUGCUUGGUUCUCAAAAGCUGCUGGAUAGUGAUCGUGCUUCUAGAUCAUCUUCAUUGCUGCAAAGUGCUUCUGCUUUAUCUGGUUCUGAGCCAGAAAGUUUGUCUCUAGCUAGUGUACCUGGGGAUCAAUUGCGUCAUGCAGAGCAUAAAACAAAAAUUUCUUCAAAUGUCUGGGAGCCAUCUGUACCUUUUCGCCCUUCCUUUAUCAUUACUCCUGAAAUGAUAUCAUCUGCUGGGAGCAAAUAUGAUCCUCUUCGAGAUAGCUUUGUCUUGCCCAAUGUAGGAGACAAAUCCUUCAAAUUCUCUUUCUUUAGUCUAGGAGCAUCCAUCUCAAAUACAUCGCAGCAACCAAUAUAUGGCGAUUCCUUAUCAAAUCGAAACUUUGGCACUGAAUUUAAUGGUGACAAAAGUACCAUGUCUUCUCAUGAUAAACCCCACGGAAGUCUGUCGGAUAAAAAUUGCAGUACACCUGGAAAAGAUUCAUUUACCACUGCAACAGUGACAGGAGGAGCUGGUACAGCUGAUGGUGAAAAUGGGAGUGCACUCAAGGAAGAAAGUGCCUCAGGUAUUGGUUAUGACAAAGUUAAUCGAGUUACAAACAAAAUUGAUCGUGAUGCUAGACCCCAAAUAGAUGGGUCAAGACACAAAAAGGACUUAAAGGCAGAUAGUGUUAGACAAAACAAUGACAUGGAGGUUGAUCAAAGGAUAGGUGGGGAUACGCAAAAAGAAUCGAAAGUGCUGAGACAUUUUCGUUCUGCUCUUAUUGAUUUUGUUAAAGAUUUGUUGAAACCAACUUGGCGUGAGGGUCAUCUCAGCAAGGAUGCACAUAACACAAUAGUUAAAAAGACAGUUGAGAAGGUUCUUAGCACCUUGCAGCCUCAUCAAAUUCCAGCUACUGUUGAGUCAAUUAAGCAAUAUCUUUCUUCAUCUCAGCCAAAAAUGGCAAAGCUUGUUGAGGGAUACAUUUCUAAGUAUGGAAAAUCUUGAGAUGCCUGGCUAUAUGGCUUUCUUUCUGUACAGUUUCCGACACAUCUGGUUAUUCAAAAAACCAUGACAGUUUGUAUGAGGCUUAUUUAGCAGUAGUUAAAACUGACAUUCAGGCGGAAUGUUGUGAAUUUUAUUCCUGUCUUUGUGGAUGAUAUGUGCAUCUUGCUUUUCUUCAAUGCUAUCAAAGUCGUAUAAGGAGAUACUUAUGCAGCGAGAUACAUGCAGUCACAAGUUCAUAAAUCUUGUCGAUGCUUCCAAGCCUCAAUAGGGUUUUACUUCAUUUUAUAUUCACCUCGUACGUAUAGUUGGGGUCUGCUUUACAACGACGGCCUUGAAAGGACGAGUAGAUACAGGCAGCUUAAAAGGAGCGGCUGCUGCAUGGUGGACAUAUCAAUGAAGCAAGGUAAAACAAAUUAACCUUGUUGUCUACUGUUUUUAGAUCUAAAAAACUGGGUUUGGGGCCUGAGGGUAUAGUUCGUACUGGUUACAGCUAUCGUUAUUAUUGAUGAGCGUACAAGGCAAAAUGUUAGUGAUGUGAUUUUUUGUAUUGCCGACGUUCCAAAGUAGGUCUUGCCUCCUUGUACAGAGCUACAAAUACACAUCAUUUUGGACUUCUACCGCGUCUUAGAUUCAGAAGAGAUUUAAAAAAUAAAAUUACAUUGACGGAUAAAA